rnacentral:rRNA from 1 species
AUUGAACGCUGGCGGCAGGCUUAACACAUGCAAGUCGAGCGAGCGGCGGACGGGUGAGUAAUGUCUGGGACACUGCCUGAUGGAGGGGGAUAACUACUGGAAACGGUAGCUACUACCGCAUACCCUCCUAUGUGCCCAGAGGGGAUUAGCUAGUAGGUGGGGUAAUGGCUCACCUAGGCGAAGAUCCCUAGCUGGUCUGAGAGGAUGACCAGCCACACUGGAACUGAGACACGGUCCAGACUCCUACGGGAGGCAGCAGUGGGGAAUAUGUCACAAUGGGCGCAAGCCUGAUGCAGCCAUGCCGCGUGUGUGAAGAAGGCCUUCGGGUGGUAAAGCACUGUCAGCGAGGAGGCGUUACUCGCAGAAGAAGCACCGGCUAACUCCGUGCCAGCAGCCGCGGUAAUUC